rnacentral:rRNA from 1 species
CCUACGGGAGGCAGCAGUGAGGAAUAUUCCGCAAUGGGCGAAAGCCUGACGGAGCGACGCCGCGUGGACGAUGAAGGUCUUCGGAUUGUAAAGUCCUGUAGAGGGGGAAGAAGGUUCCAUCGUAAGAUGGGAUUGACAGUACUCCUAAAGUAAGCUACGGCAAACUCUGUGCCAGCAGCCGCGGUUAUACAGAGGUAGCAGGCGUUGUUCGGAAUGACUGGGUGUAAAGAGCACGUAGGUGGUUUAGUAAGUUGGAUGUGAAAUCCUUUAGCUUAACUAAAGAACCGCAUCCAAAACUGCUUUACUUGAGUACGGGAGAGGAGAGUGGAAUUCCUGGUGUAGCGGUGAAAUGCGUAGAUAUCAGGAAGAACACCGGUGGCGAAAGCGACUCUCUGGUCCGUAACUGACACGGAGGUGCGAAAGCUAGGGGAGCAAACAGGAUUAGAUACCCCGGUAGU